GAUGAACGCUGGCGGCGUGCCUAAUACAUGCAAGUCGAGCGAACGGACGAGAAGCUUGCUUCUCUGAUGUUAGCGGCGGACGGGUGAGUAACACGUGGAUAACCUACCUAUAAGACUGGGAUAACUUCGGGAAACCGGAGCUAAUACCGGAUAAUAUUUUGAACCGCAUGGUUCAAAAGUGAAAGACGGUCUUGCUGUCACUUAUAGAUGGAUCCGCGCUGCAUUAGCUAGUUGGUAAGGUAACGGCUUACCAAGGCAACGAUGCAUAGCCGACCUGAGAGGGGGAUCGGCCACACUGGAACUGAGGCACGGUCCAGACUCCUACGGGAGGCAGCAGUAGGGAAUCUUCCGCAAUGGGCGAAAGCCUGACGGAGCAACGCCGCGUGAGUGAUGAAGGUCUUCGGAUCGUAAAACUCUGUUAUUAGGGAAGAACAUAUGUGUAAGUAACUGUGCACAUCUUGACGGUACCUAAUCAGAAAGCCACGGCUAACUACGUG
rnacentral:rRNA from 1 species